CGGAGCGUGGCGCAGCUUGGCAGCGCACUAGACUGGGGGUCUAGGGGUCGCCGGUUCGAAUCCGGCCGCUCCGA
rnacentral:tRNA from 1 species